GCUUCCUGUGCUAAGGUGCAUCUAGUGCAGUUAGUGAAGUAGCUUAGAAUCUACUGCCCUGAAUGCUCCUUCUGGCAUAGGAG
rnacentral:pre_miRNA from 1 species